rfam:Triticum aestivum genome assembly, contig: Triticum_aestivum_CS42_TGACv1_scaffold_094713_2AL
UCAUUCGGAUUCGCCAUCAUACGUCCAACCGUGCAUUUGAUAUGCAUAUAUAUGCAUCACGAGCCACGAUUGGGCUGUAUGAUGGCGAUACCGAUUGG